UGGGGAAUAUUGCACAAUGGGCGAAAGCCUGAUGCAGCAACGCCGCGUGAGGGAUGACGGCCUUCGGGUUGUAAACCUCUUUUAGUAGGGAAGAAGCGAAAGUGACGGUACCUGCAGAAAAAGCACCGGCUAACUACGUGCCAGCAGCCGCGGUAAUACGUAGGGUGCAAGCGUUGUCCGGAAUUAUUGGGCGUAAAGAGCUCGUAGGCGGUUUGUCGCGUCUGCUGUGAAAUCCCGAGGCUCAACCUCGGGCUUGCAGUGGGUACGGGCAGACUAGAGUGCGGUAGGGGAGAUUGGAAUUCCUGGUGUAGCGGUGGAAUGCGCAGAUAUCAGGAGGAACACCGAUGGCGAAGGCAGAUCUCUGGGCCGUAACUGACGCUGAGGAGCGAAAGCAUGGGGAGCGAACAGG
rnacentral:rRNA from 1 species